AUGGGUGAUGGCGUGCCUUUUGUAGAAUGAACCGGCGAGUUACGAUCUGAUGCAAGGUUAAGCAGCGAAUGUGGAGCCGUAGCGAAAGCGAGUCUGAAUAGGGCGUUGAGUAUUUGGUCGUAGACCCGAAACCAGGUGAUCUACCCUUGGUCAGGUUGAAGUUCAGGUAACACUGAAUGGAGGACCGAACCGACUUACGUUGAAAAGUGAGCGGAUGAACUGAGGGUAGCGGAGAAAUUCCAAUCGAACUUGGAGAUAGCUGGUUCUCUCCGAAAUAGCUUUAGGGCUAGCCUCAAGUGAUGAUUAUUGGAGGUAGAGCACUGUUUGGACGAGGGGCCCCUCUCGGGUUACCGAAUUCAGACAAACUCCGAAUGCCAAUCAAUUUAACUUGGGAGUCAGAACAUGGGUGAUAAGGUCCGUGUUCGAAAGGGAAACAGCCCAGACCACCAGCUAAGGUCCCAAAAUAUAUGUUAAGUGGAAAAGGAUGUGGCGUUGCCCAGACAACUAGGAUGUUGGCUUAGAAGCAGCCAUCAUUUAAAGAGUGCGUAAUAGCUCACUAGUCGAGUGACACUGCGCCGAAAAUGUACCGGGGCUAAACAUAUUACCGAAGCUGUGGAUUGUCCUUCGGACAAUGGUAGGAGAGCGUUCUAAGGGCGUUGAAGCAUGAUCGCAAGGACAUGUGGAGCGCUUAGAAGUGAGAAUGCCGGUGUGAGUAGCGAAAGACGGGUGAGAAUCCCGUCCACCGAUUGACUAAGGUUUCCAGAGGAAGGCUCGUCCGCUCUGGGUUAGUCGGGUCCUAAGCUGAGGCCGACAGGCGUAGGCGAUGGAUAACAGGUUGAUAUUCCUGUACCACCUAGUAUCGUUUUAAUUGAUGGGGGGACGCAGUAGGAUAGGCGAAGCGUGCUGUUGGAGUGCACGUCCAAGCAGUAAGGCUGAGUGUUAGGCAAAUCCGGCACUCGUUAGGCUGAGCUGUGAUGGGGAGAGGAAAUUGUUUCCUCGAGUCGUUGAUUUCACACUGCCGAGAAAAGCCUCUAGAUAGAUAACAGGUGCCCGUACCGCAAACCGACACAGGUAGUCAAGAUGAGAAUUCUAAGGUGAGCGAGCGAACUCUCGUUAAGGAACUCGGCAAAAUGACCCCGUAACUUCGGGAGAAGGGGUGCUCUUUAGGGUUCACGCCCAGAAGAGCCGCAGUGAAUAGGCCCAAGCGACUGUUUAUCAAAAACACAGGUCUCUGCUAAACCGUAAGGUGAUGUAUAGGGGCUGACGCCUGCCCGGUGCUGGAAGGUUAAGAGGAGUGGUUAGCUUCUGCGAAGCCACGAAUCGAAGCCCCAGUAAACGGCGGCCGUAACUAUAACGGUCCUAAGGUAGCGAAAUUCCUUGUCGGGUAAGUUCCGACCCGCACGAAAGGCGUAACGAUUUGGGCACUGUCUCAACGAGAGACUCGGUGAAAUCAUAGUACCUGUGAAGAUGCAGGUUACCCGCGACAGGACGGAAAGACCCCGUGGAGCUUUACUGUAGCCUGAUAUUGAAAUUCGGCACAGCUUGUACAGGAUAGGUAGGAGCCAUUGAAACGUGAGCGCUAGCUUACGUGGAGGCGUUGGUGGGAUACUACCCUAGCUGUGUUGGCUUUCUAACCCGCACCACUUAUCGUGGUGGGAGACAGUGUCAGGCGGGCAGUUUGACUGGGGCGGUCGCCUCCUAAAAGGUAACGGAGGCGCUCAAAGGUUCCCUCAGAAUGGUUGGAAAUCAUUCACAGAGUGUAAAGGCAUAAGGGAGCUUGACUGCGAGACCUACAAGUCGAGCAGGGUCGAAAGACGGACUUAGUGAUCCGGUGGUUCCGCAUGGAAGGGCCAUCGCUCAACGGAUAAAAGCUACCCCGGGGAUAACAGGCUUAUCUCCCCCAAGAGUUCACAUCGACGGGGAGGUUUGGCACCUCGAUGUCGGCUCAUCGCAUCCUGGGGCUGUAGUCGGUCCCAAGGGUUGGGCUGUUCGCCCAUUAAAGCGGUACGCGAGCUGGGUUCAGAACGUCGUGAGACAGUUCGGUCCCUAUCCGUCGUGGGCGUAGGAAAUUUGAGAGGAGCUGUCCUUAGUACGAGAGGACCGGGAUGGACAUACCUCUGGUGUACCAGUUGUCGUGCCAACGGCAUAGCUGGGUAGCUAUGUAUGGACGGGAUAAGUGCUGAAAGCAUCUAAGCAUGAAGCCCCCCUCAAGAUGAGAUUUCCCAACUUCGGUUAUAAGAUCCCUCGAAGAUGACGAGGUUAAUAGGUUCGAGGUGGAAGCGUGGUGACACGUGGAGCUGACGAAUACUAAUCGAUCGAAGACUUAAUCAAU
rnacentral:rRNA from 1 species